rnacentral:rRNA from 1 species
UACGGAGGGUGCAAGCGUUGUCCGGAUUCAUUGGGCUUAAAGGGUGCGUAGGUGGGCAGGUAAGUCAGUGGUGAAAUCUCCGGGCUUAACCCGGAAACUGCCGUUGAUACUAUUUGUCUUGAAUAUUGUGGAGGUAAGCGGAAUAUGUCAUGUAGCGGUGAAAUGCUUAGAUAUGACAUAGAACACCAAUUGCGAAGGCAGCUUACUACACAAUGAUUGACACUGAGGCACGAAAGCGUGGGGAGCAAACAGG